UACGUAGGAGGCAAGCGUUGUCCGGAAUUACUGGGCGUAAAGCGCGUGUAGGUGGUGGGACAAGUCUGCUGUGAAAGCGCCUGGCUUAACCGGGCGAGGUCGGCGGAAACUGUUCGACUCGAGGACGGUAGAGGGGGGUGGAAUUCCCGGUGUAGUGGUGGAAAUGCGCAGAUAUCAGGAGGAACACCGGUGGCGAAGGCGGAUCUCUGGGGCCGAUACUGACGCUGAGAAGCGAAAGCAUGGGGAGCGAACAGG
rnacentral:rRNA from 1 species